AUAGAGAAGGAAGAGACUGACAAAGUGUCUCUGCCAUCGUUGAAAAUUGAGGCAUAACAAACGCCGAGCCAUCGUUUCGGUCGUCAUUUGUUACAUUGGCGAAUCGAUUGUUUCUCGUCUACAU
rfam:Cicer arietinum chromosome Ca7, whole genome shotgun sequence.